rnacentral:misc_RNA from 1 species
GGCACAAGGGUGCGUCCGACCGAACGGGUCCGGAGAACGCCCCGCUGCGCACGACAGUCAGUCGUUUUAGCCACGGAUGGAACGAACGGGCAAACAGCCCGACUCUCAUCGUGUGUUCCGCAUCCCCAAGCCACGUGUGAUCCCGUUAACCACGCGGGCGGCCCAAAAGCCGCCGGCUGGCUUCRCGAGUCACACGGACAUGUUGCCCACGACCGAUUUCAAGAUCGGUCGGAGGGCAAAAGCCGCCGCACGACACUGAUUGCCGAUUUUUUCUUUGGUAAGCAACACAGGAA